GUCAGCUGCAGAGGGUGUUGAACAAUCUUCAUCUCUAGAUGAAUAAAUAAUGAAUUAUUGCAUAGAGUUGAGGGACAAUAUUUUCUUCUUCAUUUGGACCUUUAGCAUGUUGCUGUGAUUGUGGGCGCAGAGCAAGAUGAAUGUCAGCUGAUUUUUGGAGUGAAGAGGAAGUAUGAGCCAGUGCCAUGUUAAACAGGGUUGAGCAGUUGGAUCAAAGAAGUUAAUGGCACGUUGUACACAUGACAAAGUACAGGAGCAUCACUGUCUGUGGAGCCCAGCUGGAAGGUUGCAAAGCAGCUGUGAGAAUAGAUGGUUGGACCCAUUGUCAUGGUGGUACAAUACUGCUCAACUGAAGUUUUCCAGCGGUAAAGGCUCUGCAUAUUGUGAUGGUCAAGAGAAAGGAGAUAGUCAAGAUACAGCUUCAGGAAUAAGAGAGUCUAGACAUCUUGUCUAACUGUUUUUCCAUGAUGUCCCUCGACUGUGGCACUUACUCCCCACAUAACUUAAAGAAGGCCAAACUAUGUGCAGCAAAGUCUCUCUUGACAGGAAACUUAAUGGAGGUGAUACACUGACAGGUAGAAAAUCUUUCUGGCUGUGGCAGUGCCUUUAUCAAGUACUUCAGUGUGCCAUAGUGUUGCAUGGUGCUUGCUGCAGUGCUAGUGCUCAGGUGAUGAUAAUGCCUGCCUACCAUUUAUUGCGGUAGCAUCAUUAUACUCGGGCAGUCUUUUAUCCAAGUACUUCAGCCUGAAACUGCCUCAGAGCAAAGAAACUCAAAGAACGAGAUACGGUUGAUGGACGCAUAAAAAAAAUCAAGUUGAGAUUGUGCUGACACCUGUGCAGUUUCACGACAGCAUCUGUAUUGCCUGUUCGUCGACAGUAUGCAGCUCCUUGGUCUCCCUGUGGAUGCUGAGGAGAUCAGACUGGUUUUCAUCCAUUUCACCUCUUUCAUGUCUGACCAAAACAUUUUGAGUUCAACGGUCACAGAAUACUCCCUGUGGUGUGCUAGCCCUGAUCUGCCUGCAUGCUCAAAGGAGGACAGCAGUUAUAAUGAUGACUGGCUCCCUGGGGUGGUGCACAAGGGUGAGAGGUUACCGAGCAAGCUCAUCCACAGCCUGUUUGUAAUCCUUCCUGCGUGACAGACUUGAAAAGCUCUCUUAUGUAACUGUAUUUCUUAAAAUUAUUCAAAAUCUAUUCUUUCAUUUUUGGAGCUGAAUAGAGAGAGAUGCAUAAAGAUGUAUUUAAAGAGCCACACUAUAUCUGAUUUAAUAACACCUUAUUUUUAGUAAAACCCCAUUAUUUUUAGUUAAAUCAGUUAGUGGAAGAAUCACAAGGAAAUAGCAGCCCAACUUGCUGUAAGACCUAUAUAUUCUGCUAAGUUUCUUUAACCGUAAAGAGUGUUACUGUAUAAUUCUCCCUUUGGCAAGGUGUAUGCAUCACCAUGAUGCAUCUAUAAACAGAAUGUGAGGCGGCUGUGCUUCGUUAGAUGAAGCCAGUAAUUCACUAGGCACUCAGACUGGCACUGAACUCUCCUCCAGGAUGGGGACUGGGUGCCACUGGUGUUCAGGUCAGGGGAGGCAGAGGGCAUUUGGUACCCCAAUGAAUAUAUGCUGCCAUGCACACCAGUGUCCUACAAAGAAAAAAAUAUAAUCUAGCAGUAGUACAUGCUGGUUUGCGUAAGUGGAUGUGGCUGCUCUCCACGAGUAUUGCACUCUAGUGUAUUUUCAGCAUGCUUGUUGUAAACUACUUGUAUUGCUCAGCAGAUACUCUGUGCUCUGUCCUCCUGAAAAGUGUGAACAAAUUGCUGUGGUUAAUGAUUAUAGCUGCUAAAUGUUUGUUUCUGAUCAUUUCUGCAAUAUGUUGAGUGCUUGCAAAAUAUAUAUACACUUAAAAAAAAAAAUCACCUCCUGUUCAAAAGCAAUUUUAAUUUGUCAAAAUUUUUAUCUUAGGCUUAACUUUGCUUCAGGCUGGACACGGCUCAUAGGGGAUAAAACUUAGGCAGGCAAGCAUCUGAACAAUCAGUUUCUAUUGAAGUAAUCUUCCCAACCUUAGGUACCUUUGAAAAAUGAUAGUCUGAUGAUUUCAGCCAGGAGAGAUCUUUUUAGAUAACAUUUUUUGAAUGAGGUGUCUGUAAAAAAACACACACAGUGUUCUUUAUACUCUUAAAACUUUAAAAUCUUGUUUAAUACACAGAAAAAGUACAAAAGUAUACACUAAUACUUUGUAAAGUUAGAGUGGAGCCUAAUGAAGAAGGAUUCCUCUUCAGAACAAGAAUGCUGUAGCACCCAGGUUCAUUUAAAAACUGCUAGUGAAAUUGUUCUUGGAAAUCACAGGAAGUUUUCUUGGCAGAGUUAGCACACAUACUUAUUAGCGCAUUUCCAUGCUUGAAAGGGUUACAAUAUUACUGUAACGUUUUUUUUUUUUUAGAAGAAAAAAAACCCCAACAACCCACUAUCUUUCUUUUAGCAGGACUAUUUCAGAAUCUGAAAUAAUGACAUAAUGAAAACCACUGCUUUUUUUCCCCCUUAAUUCUCUCCUUUAUUCGCUAUAAAAAAGCAGUAUGUGCCUUAUCUAUUGUCUAGUUUCUUACACACUUUCAUAAUCCAAAGCUUAAUCUCAUUCUACAUCCACCUCUCUUCUCGUUUUUAUUUUUGUUGCAAAAUAUUGGAAUUCACUUUUCUUUUUUUAAGGGUGAAACACGCUGUGUAUUUUUAAUGUUACUCCUAUGCUGUGUUCCUCAGUUAACUGAGCCCCUAGUUUAGAUUUACAUGCCUGAUAAUGUCACAUAUCUUCUCUAUUUUAAGGCAAGAGGGCAAAAAGCAAUAUUUAUAAUCCAUUUCUUUAUUCAUGUUAUUAUGGCAUUUCCUAUUUUGCAUGAAAAUAUUAGCCCACAGUUUAUUAACUUUUUGAUUACAUCAGUGUGAAAACCUUGAAAACAACUUUGACUGGAGGGAGAGGUUACCAUCUUGCCUAGAGUGUAUCAUGUUAUUAACCUGUCCUUUAUUUAGCAGACAUCAAUAAUGACUGUUCGGUGAGACUGUAAGUGAAGUUUCCUGUGUAAAUCACUAGCCAUCAUCUCACUGUGACCCACUAUCUGCUGGUAAACUGCAGUUCACUGCACGUCAUCUUCUGUUUCAGGUGAAUUUUUCUAAAAUUUAAAAAAUGAUGGAGUUUUCUAAAAAAGUGUGUAAAUUUGCACACAACUUAGUUUACCUUGUGUAAAUUGUCAACCCUAGAUUAAAUUUACAUCCAUGAAGGAUCUUCUUAUUUCUGUCAGGUGUAGAGGAUUAACUAUAGCCAUUUACAAAUUUUUAUUGAUCAUAAACUUGCUGCUUUGCAUUAGAACGUUUGAAUAUCUUUUGUCAUAAAAUUGAAAGAAUAUUACUAACUUUGUUUAAAUACCUUACAUCAUUAGUGUGUACAGGUUUUUUACCUCUACCUCUGCCUUUCUUUUGAAGAGUCUUCAGAGCAUGUUCCGAACAGUACACAAACAUGACUAGACUCCCUCGAAGUCAAAAGCAAUACUUUUAAUUGGCAUAAGUGGAGCCACAUUGACAAAGGAUUGUUUCUCCCACCAGUGAACUGAAGCCCCUCAGGAAGGGAGGAUCAGUCUGUUUCACCAAUUUUCUGGCUGUGUGACUUCAUUGAUUCCCAUUGCACAACCAUGACACAUGGAGUGGAGAAUUGGGCCCUAGGCAGGGUGGCUGCAUGGUCAGCUCUGUGUCAUGCUUCAGGAUGAGAAGUGUAGAAGGAACUAUAUGCUCUUCUCAUGAACACCUCUGCAAGCUGGGCGCUGUCAUGACUGGAUGUAUCUCAUCUGGUAUUCACUUUGAAAAGGGUACAACACAGGAGAGAACUGGCCACCUGGUAUGGAAAUGCAACCAGAGGGGCAGGGGAGUGGGUCAAGGCUUAGUAUGUAGCCAUGCUCAGGAAAGCUUGUUUAAGCUUUCUUCUGUAGUCAGAAAAAAGCAAUAUACUUCAACUAAACUUCACCUGGCUAGGAGCAUAUCAUCUCACAGAGGGUGUUUUUUGCAUCAUACCUUAUGUCUAUAGCCACAUCCUAUAAGUAAUGCAGAAAAAAGUCUUCACUGAGGUAUUAUAAGAUAUAGUAAUCAAAUAAAAUUGCAAAUUUUUG